rnacentral:rRNA from 1 species
GCGGUAAUUCCAGCUCUGUAAGCGUAUACCAAAGUUGUUGCAGUUAAAACGCUCGUAGUCGGACGUUGGUGGCUCGCGGUUGAUCGGCCUAUGUGUCGUAUCAUCUGCGGCUGCUUUUGUGGAAAGGUAUUUUUCUGGUGCUUAAUUGCGUCAGGGAGGUACUUCCACCGUUUACUGUGAAAAAAUUAGAGUGUUCAAAGCGGGCGAUUUGCCAUGAAUACAUUAGCAUGGAAUAAUAGAAUAGGACCUGGUCCUGUUUUGUUGGUUUGUGAGUAUCAGGUAAUGAUUAAGAGGGACGGUUGGGGGCAUUUGUAUUCCGGCGUCAGAGGUGAAAUUCUUGGAUU